rnacentral:lncRNA from 1 species
GGGGAACCUUUGUGGCCACAGAACAGUAGGUUCCUCCUGAAGGACUCCUGUGGGAAAGCAGUGGCACUACUCCCUGGACCCUGGAAACUCCACAGCCCCAGGCUCAGCUCCUCUUGGUCAGCAGUGGGGCAGCGGGGAAGACUGCUGCUGCAGAGGAGACCUGGAGACGAAGAUAUGCGGGAAACGCAGUCUGGAUGCAGAGGCAGAACCCGAACCAAAAAGGAGCUCGCGGCCGCAAGGGUCAGGGGAGGGCAGUGGCUGGGCCCCAGGGCCUGCAGAGAGCCACACUCCCAUCACCGUUCCUCUGACAGUGCUUUCCAACUGUAUCUCCAGCCUUCAGGAGUUUCCCUCCCACAGGAGAGAAAAGAGCAAGGGCCACUCCUUGGCUUUCCUCUCUGCACCCACAUGCCCUGAAAACCCUCCCCCAACCAGCACCAUCCCUGAAACCCGGCUCGGUGGAGGUGGAGGGAGGAGGGUGUGGAAGGCUGUAGCCUCAGGGGCCCAGCACUUAAUUCAGCCAGCUGGUCAGAAGGCACAGGCCAGUGGCCUGUGUCAGGAGGACAGUCGGUGUGCGCCUCCAGGAUCACACAUCCGGCCACCAAGCCCCACUCCCUGGCCCUUUCUGCUCCCUGCCUUCAGCCACCAUUAUCUGCCCCCCGACCCCGGCCUUUUCCUACUCUCAGGUCUCUUUCUCAGGUCUCAGCCUUUCCUUUUGCUCACAAACUCCCUUCCUCUCCCCAUCUCCCCCUCUCCCUUGCAGUCGCUCUCCCUCGGUCUCUCUCUGUCUCUAUCUUUAUCUCUGUCUCUAUUUCUCUGUCUCUCCAUCAGAAGUAGCAGGGGAAUUGGUGCAGGGGUUUUUCCCACAACUGUACAGAGUGUGAGCAAUCGUUGCUCUUGCAGAAGGAACUCAAACCUUCCUGCGGCAGCAAGAACAGGUGUGAAAUUUUGAGGAAUUUGAAGUUUUCCCGUGGCCUCAGCCUUGUUCUCUGACUGACAGGAGAGCUGAAUGGGGCCUCUGAAGUUUUCAUUGUGACUUCAAGCCUCCUCCCCUGUCCUGAGAGCCCUGGUGUCUUUUGCUUCUGCCAAUGCCAGCAGCUCUUGAUGCAGGCGCACAAUUGGCAACGGCUUGGCAAACCUCAGGGUGGCAGUCCUGUCCCACAGUAU